UACGGAGGGUGCAAGCGUUGUCCGGAUUUAUUGGGUUUAAAGGGUGCGUAGGCGGCCCGUUAAGUCAGUGGUGAAAGCCUCCAGCUCAACUGGAGAACUGCCAUUGAUACUGGCGGGCUUGAGUACAGACGAGGUAGGCGGAAUUGAUUGUGUAGCGGUGAAAUGCAUAGAUACAAUCAAGAACACCGAUUGCGUAGGCAGCUUACUAGGCUGUAACUGACGCUGAGGCACGAAAGCGGUGGGAGCGAACAGG
rnacentral:rRNA from 1 species